CUCACUGACACGCGGCGGACUUCCAGCCAGUGCUGCGGGGGAUCACAGAGGCGGGCAGACCGGGCAAAUGGGGCUGGGCACACAAAAAGCAGCAGCCAAAGAGUCAGCUUCCCUGCUUACAGGGGACCCCCGGCCACUGCCGCCAUUGAAAAGGGCCUGGGACUCCGGGACACAGAUGCUCCCUGACUUACAGGGCAGCCCCCAUCCCUACGGCCGAGGGAGGCUCCUUCUCUCCCAGUCCGGGGCACCUCGACCCACACCCCGCUAGCGGGGCGGUCACCCCACACAGGCUGCCAGCAGAGCACAAACGCUCGCGCACCCAGACCCUGAUUACAGGCGGGUGGACAACACCCCUGGAGCCACAGAGCUCGGUUUCCCCCCCAGCGGCAGGAGCAACUCUCAGCAGCCAGGCAGCGGGGCGGCACGGCCAAAGGCCGCAGUCGGGAUCCCAGCCCCGAUUCCAGGGAGGGCGCAAGCCCCACCCCGCAUCUCACGGCCCCGCGCCUCUGAAAGGCCGGGGCCACAUUCCCACCUGAGUACAGGGGGUCUCUCAGAACGCAGCUCACCAAGCACACACGGGGGGCACACACAGCCCUGCCUACAGGACGGUACCCCCACACCUCACCCUCUUCAAGAAGCCCCGCGGAGCACGAGGCUCCCGCCAACGCCUGAGUUACAGGCUGGCCCGCCCGGCAGCAGCAGAACAUCACCAACGUCUCGUCUUUGGAAGCCCAGGGAGCUACCUCGACCCACCGAGCGGGGAGGUCACCCCACACACAAACAGCACCUCAACCUGCACCCUCUGACGGGACAGGGAGGGGUCACUCCCACCAGCUGGACGGCUAAAGCAGCCGGCUGCAACGCUGCAGCCUCCCCACACCUGGUUACAGGGCGGGCGGGCUGCUCAGGGACAGAGGGCUCCAAAGCUUGGGACACACACCCCGAGUACGGGGCCGUCGCAUUGACAAGCCACCAUCAGGCAACGAUGCCGAGGGGCCGGGGGAGGAAGAGGGGCAGGGAAACGGCACUACCCUGCUUACAGGGUGGCCUCGGGGUCCGGCGAGCUCCAUUUCCCACUCAGGUGCGGAGAGGUGACUCUCGCCCUCCGUUACAGGGGGCCACGCUCCCCAGGCAGCCCUAGGAGCAGCAAGGCAAAAGGCCAACUACAGCAAAGACCCGAGCCCUGCUUACAGGGAGGUCGCCCAGCACAAAGCCCGCCGGGACGCCAGAGGCACCGGCAGCGCUCAACUCAAACGUGACUGUGCCCCCGCUAACGGGACAGGUGCUUUGCCCAGGGAGCCUCUCUCCUUCCCCCCCGCAUCUGCACGCUUCCGCUUCCUCUUCUUGCUUGCUCGCUCCUGCCGCCCAGGUCCCCACGCUGCUGCUUCUUCUUUCUUCUGCAGCAGCUCCUGAAACAUCAGCGGGGACACCAUUAGACCUGCGCGGUGGCAAGCCCCCCACCUGGCAGAAAAG
rnacentral:lncRNA from 1 species